GGUCCUGGAGGACCUGGUGGAAGUUGGGGGGGUGCUCUGGUGGGACCUGGAGCAGAUGAUGGUGUCCUGAAGAAGACUGAGGGCACCAAGGUGUGACCUGGAGGAGAUCGGGGGGAACCAAGAUUUAGGUCCUGGAAGUGAUGGGGGAACCAAGGUGGGACCUGGAGGACCUGGAGAAGAUUUGGGGUCACC